rnacentral:rRNA from 1 species
GACGAACGCUGGCGGCGUGCCUAACACAUGCAAGUCGAACGGAGAUAAGCGCUGAUUUGAUGAAAGCUUGCUUUUGGAUUUUCUUGCUUAUCUUAGUGGCGGACGGGCGAGUAACGCGUGAGCAACCUGCCCUUCAGAGGGGAACAACAGUUGGAAACGACUGCUAAUACCGCAUAACGUGCCUUGAGGGCAUCCCUUUUGUAUCAAAGGAGAAAUCCGCUGAAAGAUGGGCUCACGUCUGAUUAGCUAGUUGGUGGGGUAAAGGCCUACCAAGGCUGCGAUCAGUAGCCGGACUGAGAGGUUGAACGGCCACAUUGGGACUGAGAUACGGCCCAG